CUAAGCCAUGCGAGUCAUUGUAGCAAUACAAGGCAGACGGCUCAGUAACGCGUAGUCAACCUAACCUAUGGACGGGAAUAACCUCGGGAAACUGAGAAUAAUGCCCGAUAGAACACUAUACCUGGAAUGGUUUGUGUUCCAAAUGAUUUAUCGCCGUAGGGUGGGACUGCGGCCUAUCAGUUUGUUGGUGAGGUAAUGGCCCACCAAGACUAUUACAGGUACGGGCUCUGAGAGGAGUAGCCCGGAGAUGGGUACUGAGACACGGACCCAGGCCCUAUGGGGCGCAGCAGGCGAGAAAACUUUGCAAUGUGCGAAAGCACGACAAGGUUAAUCCGAGUGGUUUGUGCUAAACGAACCUUUUGUCGGUCCUAGAAACACCGAUGAAUAAGGGGUGGGCAAGUUCUGGUGUCAGCCGCCGCGGUAAAACCAGCACCUCAAGUGGUCAGGAUGAUUAUUGGGCCUAAAGCAUCCGUAGCCGGCGCUAUAAGUUUUCGGUUAAAUCUGUACGCUCAACGUACAGGCUGCCGGGAAUACUGUAGCGCUAGGGAGUGGGAGAGGUAGACGGUACUCGGUAGGAAGGGGUAAAAUCCUUUGAUCUAUUGAUGACCACCUGUGGCGAAGGCGGUCUACCAGAACACGUCCGACGGUGAGGGAUGAAAGCUGGGGGAGCAAACCGGAUUAGAUACCCGGGUAGUCCCAGCUGUAAACUAUGCAAACUCAGUGAUGCAUUAGCUUGCGGCCAAUGCAGUGCUGCAGGGAAGCCGUUAAGUUUGCCGCCUGGGAAGUACGUACGCAAGUAUGAAACUUAAAGGAAUUGGCGGGGGAGCAC
rnacentral:rRNA from 1 species